GUCUUCGUGGCGCAAUUGGCUAGCGCGUUUGGCUGUGAACCAAAACGUUGGAGGUUCGAGCCCUCCCGAGGGCG